AUUGAACGCUGGCGGCAUGCCUUACACAUGCAAGUCGAACGGUAACAGGUCUUCGGAUGCUGACGAGUGGCGAACGGGUGAGUAAUACAUCGGAACGUGCCUAGUAGUGGGGGAUAACUACUCGAAAGAGUGGCUAAUACCGCAUGAGAUCUACGGAUGAAAGCAGGGGAUCGCAAUACCUUGUGCUACUAGAGCGGCCGAUGGCAGAUUAGGUAGUUGGUGGGAUAAAAGCUUACCAAGCCGACGAUCUGUCGCUGGUCUGAGAGGACCAUCAGCCACACUGGGACUGGGACACGGCCCAGACUCCUACGGGAGGCAGCAGUAGGGAAUUUUGGACAAUGGGCGCAAGCCUGAUCCAGCAAUGCCGCGUGCAGGAUGAAGGCCUUCGGGUUGUAAACUGCUUUUGUACGGAACGAAAAGCCCUGGGUUAAUACCCUGGGGUCAUGACGGUACCGUAAGAAUAAGCACCGGCUAACUACGUGCCAGCCGCCGCGGUAAGAC
rnacentral:rRNA from 1 species